AUGCAAUCCAACAGCCACGCACGCCAAAACGACCUAGUUUGCUGCCAUUCAACUGCUGCCAUCCACCUCAUAAUUUUACUAACAACAAAAAGAUUGAGAGGAUAUAUGGAUGCACAAAAUAACUUUGGAUACCUACCAUCUCCCCUCCCACAAAUAGCUUUGGAUACCCAAAUUCCCUUGGAUGAAAGCUAA